GGGUGACAGGUGGUGCAUGGUUGUCGUCAGCUCGUGUCGUGAGAUGUUGGGUUAAGUCCCGCAACGAGCGCAACCUUUGUCCUUAGUUGCCACCAUUCAGUUGGGCACUCUAAGGAGACUGCCGGUGACAAACCGGAGGAAGGUGGGGAUGAGCGUCAAAUCAUCAUGCCCCUUAUGAGUUGGGCUACACACGUGCUACAAUGGACGGUACAAAGGGCAGCGAAGCCGCGAGGUGGAGCCAAUCCCAGAAAGCCGUUCUCAGUUCGGAUUGCAGGCUGCAACUCGCCUGCAUGAAGUCGGAAUCGCUAGUA
rnacentral:rRNA from 1 species